rnacentral:rRNA from 1 species
CACUCUAGUGAGACUGCCGGUGACAAACCGGAGGAAGGUGGGGAUGACGUCAAGUCCUCAUGGCCCUUAUGGUAGGGCUUCACACGUCAUACAAUGGUCGGUACAGAGGGUUGCCAAGCCGCGAGGUGGAGCCAAUCCCUUAAAGCCGAUCGUAGUCCGGAUCGUAGUCUGCAACUCGACUACGUGAAGUCGGAAUCGCUAGUAAUCGCAGAUCAGCAUGCUGCGGUGAAUACGUUCCCGGGUCUU